GAAAUGCGAUAAUUAAUGUGAAUUGCAGAAUUCAGUGAAUCAUCGAGUCUUUGAACGCACAUUGCGCCCCCUGGUAUUCCGGGGGGCAUGCCUGUCCGAGCGUCAUUGCUGCCCUCAAGCACGGCUUGUGUGUUGGGCUUCCGUCCCUGGCAACGGGGACGGGCCCAAAAGGCAGUGGCGGCACCAUGUCUAGUCCUCGAGCGUAUGGGCCUUUGUCACCCGCUCCCGUAGGUCCAGCUGGCAGCUAGCCUCGCAACCAAUCUUUUUAACCAGGUUGACCUCGGAUCAGGUAGGGAUACCCGCUGAACUUAAGC
rnacentral:misc_RNA from 1 species